GCGUCAUGCUGUCGCAAACGCGCACACCUUUGCCGUAAAGCGGGCCGGCGCGCGUUGUCCUAUCCCAGGCUGAUAAUAACUUCAGCCGACUGACCCGGAAGGGGCUCCUCCUCCUAGCGCUGACCCUGCCCGGCCAGGCUGGAGUUCUGAUGGCAGAGACCCGCAGACGGGAUUUGCUAUUGACGACCUCCUUGGCUCCAGAAAGGUGACAGAAUGCGUAGCCUGGCCAAUAUCCUUGAAUAAGAGCACAUACAAACCUUGAAUCUUACGUAUGGAAGAAAAGGAAACGUAAGGGCAGUAUCAAUGACUUCUCAGUGUACCUGAGUGUACCAGCCUGAUCACAGUAUAUUGAAAAGAACAAGCAUACACUCCCUUUCCAACACCCAGUCUUAAAAAGCAGUCAGCCAAGAAUUUGGGAAAGUCUUUAAUUGGAAAGGCAGCAAAACAAUGGGAUAGUCAGACAAAAGAGCUCUUAAGACUUUCGAAAUGGAAAGCAGAAAAGAAAAAAAUAAAAUAUUUGAAAGCAUGAUUGAAGAUGGAAAUAUAGCUCAUUAACAGAGUGACCCCGGGCUUGACCCAAUACAGAAAGGAGGCGGGGGAGGAGUGAGAAGAGAGAAAAUACAGCUGAGGAAAUCUCCCAGGAGGUGAAAAAUAAAACAGCAACUAUGAAAAUUUUAAGAAAUUGACUCAGGAAGCCCCACAUUCAAAUAACUAUACCAGGGCUGGGGAGUUGAUUCAACGGUUAAGACCACUGACAGCUCUUCCAAAUGACCUGGGUUCAAUUCCCAGCACCCACAUGGCAGCUCACAACUGUCUAUAACUCCAGUUCUAAAAAUCUGAUGCCCUCUUCUGGACUCUGUGGGCACCAGGCAUACACAUGAUAUUACACAUGUAUGCAGGCAAAACACCCAAACACAUAAAAUAAAAGUAAAUAUUGUGUUGACUAACAUUUAAAUUUUUUUAAUUAACUGUAUCAGAAAGACACUUGGAGAAAUCUACGUGUAGCGUGUUUUUUCAAAAAAAAAAAAAAAAAAACUUGACUAUGCACACAUGAAAAUCCAGAGUGCCUGGCACAGUGGAUACCACCAAUAAAGAUGCAACCAAGAGGUCUGGGGCGAAGAACAGACAAAUACUCAUUGGAAUAACUGCAUUUCUUAACAUCAGAAAAGUAGAGAACAAUAGGCCAGUGCCUUUAUAAUGCAAAAUAGUGACAGUCUGGAAUUCUUUACCCCGCUAUGCACUGAGUAUGAAUAGAAGAGAUCCAGAAAUUUAUCCCCCCCCCCAUGCACUUUCUUAAGAAGAUACUUAGAAAUGGCAAAUCAAUAAAAAAGGCAAAAGAUUAACAAA